rnacentral:rRNA from 1 species
UUGGAGGGCAAGUCUGGUGCCAGCAGCCGCGGUAAUUCCAGCUCCAAUAGCGUAUAUUAAAGUUGUUGCAGUUAAAAAGCUCGUAGUUGAAUUUCAGGCCUGGCUGGACGGUCCGCCCUUCGGGUGAGUACUGUCUGUGGUCGGGUCCUACCUUCUGGCGAAGCGUCAUGGCCUUAACCGGCCGUGGCGGGGAACCAGGACUUUUACUGUGAAAAAAUUAGAGUGUUCAAAGCAGGCAAUCGCUUGGAUACAUUAGCAUGGAAUAAUGGAAUAGGACAAUGGUUCUAUUUGUUGGUUUCUAGGACCGUUGUAAUGAUUAAUAGGGAUAGUUGGGGGCAUUAGUAUUCAAUUGUCAGAGGUGAAAUUCUUGGAUUUAUUGAAGACUAACUACUGCGAAAGCAUUUGCCAAGAAUGUUUUCAUUAAUCAAGAACGAAAGUUAGGGGAUCGAAGACGAUCAGAUACCGUCGUAGUCUUAACCAUAAACUAUGCCGACUAGGAAUCGGGCGAUGUUGAAAAAGUGACGCGCUCGGCACCUUAUGGGAAACCAAAG